UUACUUGGUGGUCGUGGAGAACAAAUCUAAAGGGUUAUGUCGAUGUCGAUAGUUGUGUUUAGUUUGUUCUCGCUGUGCCAUUCCCAGUUUACAACAAGUUCCUAAAUUUUUCCAACUAACCACAACUUCGCCACUUCAGCUACCAUGUAACUUAAUGACCGAAGAAUUAUUGAUGAAUGAAAAAAGGUUCUCCCUAAACUCAAGUUAUUGGUACUUCCAAAGCAGUUGAUGAUAGUGUUAAUCAAGUAGUGAUUUACUGUUGUUGGAUUCCCAACAGAAAAGCAUGCAGCAAACUUCCAAAAGCAAAGAGAGUGAAGAAAUUGGCAACCAACCAAAAUUCUAUUUUAUUUAUUAUUAUCACAGAUUGUCUUUAAGUUAUGUUUACUUGGAAUUUUGAGAAUUCAUCAUGUUGACAGCAGUUUCGAUUAUUUUUGUUAAUUUUUUAUUUCGAUUUUGCUUAAUCGACUAAAUGAAUCAUCUGGUUUUCUAUCCAAGAGAAAGUAAAAGGGCAAUAUCACGGUCCCCUAUGUUCUUUGUCUGCUACCUUGAAUUUCCCUCUUUGACUUCAUGUCCACUCUUUGAGUUUAAUCCUGCGCCGCUAUUCAAUGGACUGAAUCCAUUGAACCUGGCGAGUGACGAGAGAUUAGCGACGACGUGUUGUCAUUCAGCAAUCCACUUGCGUGCCGUCCUCUUUCGUCGCUCCGGGGCAGGGGGAGUUGAGCCUGCUCCAGCUACGCGGCCAGAAUCUUUCGACUACCCCUUAGGAUAGAUUUUAUUUACAGGUUUUUCUAAAUUUGCAUGACAGACUUUAUGAGAAGUCAUGUCCUUUGAAGAAAACGGACAGUGAGCCAGUGACUAUACAUACAUUCAACAAGGUCCCUUGUUUGAUAACCAGUUGGCUGCUACCCUUUCACUAAAAUGGGUCCUCUUGA